rnacentral:lncRNA from 1 species
GCCACACCACCCCCAGUCGCUGCACCACCCACUGCUACUCCUCCCCCCACAGUAGCUACACCACCUCCUGCAGCAUCACCCACUGCUGCGACCCCACCUGCUACUCCACCCGCUGCUGCUACACCACCCUCCGUAUCUGCACCUGCUCCUUCACCGGUGAUGAAGUCACCACCUGCACCCUCACCUGGGGCCCCUGUUGGUGAACCCACUGCUGCUACACCAACAGGUGGGGUACCGAGCCCCGUUGCUCCAGUGCCAGCUCCCGCUUCGGACACUGGAAGCCCCGACAACAGUGCUUUCUCCAAU